AUUGAACGCUGGCGGCAUGCCUUACACAUGCCAGUCGAACGGUAACGCGGGGCAACCUGGCGACGAGUGGCGAACGGGUGAGUAAUGCAUCGGAACGUGCCCAGAAGUGGGGGAUAGCCCGGCGAAAGCCGGAUUAAUACCGCAUGAGACCUGAGGGUGAAAGCGGGGGAUCGCAAGACCUCGCGCUUUUGGAGCGGCCGAUGUCAGAUUAGCUAGUUGGUGGGGUAAAGGCCUACCAAGGCGACGAUCUGUAGCUGGUCUGAGAGGACGACCAGCCACACUGGGACUGAGACACGGCCCAGACUCCUACGGGAGGCAGCAGUGGGGAAUUUUGGACAAUGGGCGCAAGCCUGAUCCAGCCAUGCCGCGUGCGGGAAGAAGGCCUUCGGGUUGUAAACCGCUUUUGUCAGGGAAGAAACGCUCUGGGCUAAUACCCUGGGGUAAUGACGGUACCUUAAGAAUAAGCACCGGCUAACUACGUG
rnacentral:rRNA from 1 species